rnacentral:rRNA from 1 species
UACGUAGGGUGCGAGCGUUAAUCGGAAUUACUGGGCGUAAAGCGUGCGCAGGCGGCGCGUUAAGACAGGUGUGAAAGCCCCGAGCUUAACUUGGGAAUUGCGCUUGUGACUGGCGUGCUGGAGUGUGGCAGAGGGAGGUGGAAUUCCACGUGUAGCAGUGAAAUGCGUAGAGAUGUGGAGGAACACCGAUGGCGAAGGCAGCCUCCUGGGCCAGCACUGACGCUCAUGCACGAAAGCUAGGGGAGCGAAUGGG